UAACGGGGCUAAACCAUGCACCGAAGCUGCGGCAGCGACGCUGAUGCGUUGUUGGGUAGGGGAGCGUUCUGUAAGCCUGUGAAGGUGUGCUGUGAGGCAUGCUGGAGGUAUCAGAAGUGCGAAUGCUGACAUAAGUAACGAUAAAGCGGGUGAAAAGCCCGCUCGCCGGAAGACCAAGGGUUCCUGUCCAACGUUAAUCGGGGCAGGGUGAGUCGACCCCUAAGGCGAGGCCGAAAGGCGUAGUCGAUGGGAAACAGGUUAAUAUUCCUGUACUUGGUGUUACUGCGAAGGGGGGACGGAGAAGGCUAUGUUGGCCGGGCGACGGUUGUCCCGGUUUAAGCGUGUAGGCUGGUUUUCCAGGCAAAUCCAGAAAAUCAAGGCUGAGGCGUGAUGACGAGGCACUACGGUGCUGAAGCAACAAAUGCCCUGCUUCCAGGAAAAGCCUCUAAGCAUCAGGUAACAUCAAAUCGUACCCCAAACCGACACAGGUGGUCAGGUAGAGAAUACCAAGGCGCUUGAGAGAACUCGGGUGAAGGAACUAGGCAAAAUGGUGCC
rnacentral:rRNA from 1 species